UACGUAGGGUGCAAGCGUUGUCCGGAAUUAUUGGGCGUAAAGGGCUCGUAGGCGGCCAACUAAGUCAUACGUGAAAUCCCUCGGCUUAACCGGGGAACUGCGUCUGAUACUGGAUGGCUUGAGAUUGGGAGAGGGAUGCGGAAUUCCAGGUGUAGCGGUGAAAUGCGUAGAUAUCUGGAGGAACACCGGUGGCGAAGGCGGCAUCCUGGACCAACACUGACGCUGAGGAGCGAAAGCCAGGGGAGCAAACGGG
rnacentral:rRNA from 1 species